AGCACAUGAAGGUCUCACACAGGUGAGCUGCUUGAAAACUGUUCUUGCUGUCAAUCUGAUAAGAAAGAACUAUGUUAGGCAAAAUCUCACAAGCUACCUUUGGGAAAAACAAGUUACCUCUGGUUUCUGUCUCAGUGAUUUCAAACUUGUGAAAAUGAUGGGUGCUGUUCCUGAAGCCAGCUGGUGGAACAGAAAGCCACCUCUGAAUGAGAGCUAGGAGGCACUUGUACAACACCUUGGUGGUUGCCGCACCGAGGGCUUGCAGCUUCUUGGUCAAGUCUGGGGCUUCCUCCACACCCCCGUGGAAGAGGAGUCUUCCUUAUCUUCCUUGGAGUGAAACAUGAGUGGUGAGAUGCUCUCAUGGUGAGAGUGUGCCCUGCCAACACUUCACAGUCAGAAGGCAGUGGUUGAGCAGUGUUCUGGAGCUAUUGGUCCUAUGGGGUUAUAGAGGCAGUCAUAGAUUCAUAAAAUCAUCGAGGUUGGAAAAGACCUGCAAGAUCACAACUCUUCUUCCUGCUUCUGGAAAAAAAACAGAACCAAAACCAAAAGAAACAAUAAUACUAAGGCAUAUGUUAUCUGUUGACACGAUGGAAAACUGAGUUAGUCUAACGUCUUUGGAGAGCACAACAAAUGUGUGGUUUCACUGCCGCUUUCAUUUAUACUUGUCAAAACUCACAGCACAAUAUGGUACAUUUUCACCCUCUUUUCACUGGAAAUUGCUUUCAGAGUGACUCAUUUGUUAUUUGUGUUUUCUAUGGUUCCAGAGACAUCCCACGUUUCAGUAGCUCUGCUUUGGUCUCCUCUGUGCCUUAGUCACUGGGCUCUAGGUAUUGUCUUCGAACUGUUAAAUUUAAAGCUGUGUUGGCUGUAAGAAGUCCAUUCAUUAUCUCGUGUACCCAAUAGUCAGACCUGAAACUGGAGCAUUUCACUUGAAUAAGAGCUGCUGUGGAGUAGAGCUGCUGUCUGACCUUGGGAACUGCUUAUAAAGGUGCAACGUUUUGCUCUCAACAAUACUGAAUAUGGACACCUUCCAGUUUUCCUGGAAAAUGUGAUGUUCUCAGGGCUGACGCCCAGGAAGCACCUCCCCAGGUGACGGUGGGAGCGGACGGAUGAAGGCCACCCCUUUGGCAGAGCAGAGACCCCGGCACCAUCUCCAGAUCCCUUUGGGUGGUGGUGAUGUGCGUUUGGACCCACUUUAUGGAUGGGAAGGCUGAGCUGCGGGGAACGAAGACACGCGUUGUACUGACAAAUGUGGGUCUUGACCUUUUCCUUUGGGAUCCCUUGGCUUAUUUUCCUGCCACGGUGAUGCCAUCUGCGCCUGCAGUCCCCUUCCACAGGUCGUGUCGAUCAUUAUAGAUACCACCAGAUUUAUCACCCCCGUACCUAACGUGCCAAUGCUGGCAGAGACUUUUGAAAGCACAGCGGCAACGAGAAGCGUAUGUUCUGAGAGCUGCCUUAGUGGGAGUUUUUUUUCUGCCAAGGACAAUAAUUUUUUUUUCCUUUUUUUUUUUUUUCUUCAAAAUAAACAUCACGCUGGAAUGUGCUGCAGCAAAUGGCUCGGGCUCUAUUAUAUUUCAUGCAGCUUUCUAAACAAUUUUUAACCCCGCUGGCACGGUGUCAAACAGAAGGCAACCAACAAUAGCAAAAUCCCAUUAAAGCUGAGAAGGUUCCUUCCUGAGGUGAACAUGGCCAGAAAUAGUAAUCUUGGCUCUCUUUUCAAUUUGGCAUUGGGGACCAAUAAUGCAUGUUCUACUAAUGGAAAUUAUCUAAUUUCAUCCAAGUGCAGCUCCAGAGAGAGCUGGGCUGACGCACAAACAGUCAAUAUAACAACAUUCUUCUUGAAGAGCUGAACAAUAGGGCUUUGGUGGGACUGUGAUUAACAACGUCAGACCGAGAACAAACAGAAGGUGUAAAAAUAGGCAUCUGAGGAGCUGACACAACGGACUAUUUUUCAUCUGUAAGGCCAGAGGAGAAUGGCUUGUUAAAUUGUGUGCUCGGAGCACUUCAUCAGAUGCCGUGUGGAAGAACAAAAAAAAAAAAAUAUCCCAUUUCCCAUCUGGGUCUGAGUGUACGAAGGAACUGCACAUGCCUUAUUAAUAUAAAUCAUACUAGGAGCAUAAUUCCCAUUAGCAUUGAAGAGCCGUUUUUCAAUGAAAGACUCUUGCACCAGGAACACCUAAGGGGAAAUAACAAUGUUUGCUUCAUUUGAAGAGAAUAGUAAAAUACAGCCUGGGGACUGAGGAGGCAGAGAGCUGUUCCUUCUCUCCAAUGCUACAGGUUUGGGGUUUCUAUGCAACUAUCAUGAGCCACCGCCUUCCCCACCCCCUCCCAGAAGCUGUAUCCACAUGUGGUGAAGAGGUGGGCAUCCAGAUGUGCCAGUCCAAGGAGUGGGACCAUGGGCACGUGUUGGCCCCCGGCCUCUGCAUUGCCCCAUGGGGAUGCGUUCCCUUUCCCUCAGUCCCAGCUCUCAAGGAAAGGAAGCUCUGGCCUUGAAACUUUAGACAACAUUUCCACCUCUGGUUAAGCAGCUCCAGGAUGAAUGAGUGCCUCGGGGAGCUGAGAAAUGAGACAACGCAGUGAGAAGAGGACAGUGAGUGCAGACACUGCCAGUACCGAACCUUUGGAAUUCACUGCUGCAGGACGGAUAGCCAACGACUCGUGGUGAUGUGCUCUAGCAGAAGGAAAAUCAAAGUGCCCUUUUAUAACUGUUCAGAUAUAAAGUGAAGGGCAUCCAGCCCCCUGACACCAGCAUGGAGAAUGAUGUGUGGGAGGGACUGUGGGAAAUGACCUCACCAUGCACGGCCAUGCCCACUGGCCGUGUUUCCAUCACACAGGGCACAGAGCAAGUGGGCAGUGCCCAGGGAGAGGACACAUCUCUUUUGGGCAGAUGGGUCCCAUUAGGGUUCUUUAAAGGCAGCAAUGGCACCAUUCUGCAGAGGUGUGCUCCUAGCAAGGAAGGCACUGUUUUAAAGCCCACCAGGCUGGUGCUCUCUGUGUUUAAGUCCACUCAGAGCAUGGAAGGAGGGCUGGAAGAAAACCAAUAAUUACUCUCAGAUAAAAUUAGUUUUACAAAGUGAUUUUCUUCUAGAAUCUUGGAUUCACACACGGGCUGCCUGUACUGUAGAUAUACCUGCAUUCUGAUAGCUCUAUUUCCAGUGUUCCUGCAUUUCUGACUGCUGUUGGCAAGAAGCUGUAGAUUGUUUCUCACACAGUUUUCUUAUGCAGUCUUUAGUGUCUCCUCCAAUCCUGGAUGUCCUUUAAACAUUGCACCUUUAAGGUACUGCUACUGCAGGGGCCACGGCAGGAGGCAUUACUGCACAAACCAGAUGAGUAUGGGGGAUUUAGGUGGAGUUACUCCAAUUAAACCACUGGAGAAUGCCCUGCUCUAGGAAUGGCAACUGCCCUAUUAAAGCAAGCUGGGUGUGUGCAUCCCAGCAGCUGUGCAGGAGCACAGCACAGUGGGGCAGCACUGCUGCCGUGUCUCCUCUCAUCAGCUGCUGGGGCUAAUUGCAGGGGCUCUCUGCAGACCUCUCAGCUUGUGUGGCCUGGAAAAUCCCAGGGACAAUCUUCAGGCAGUGCACAGGUGGGGUAACCCAUGGAGCCUGCAAUGCCAAAGCAGAGAGUUUGGGGAAUGGUGGCAGAAAAGCUUUUCUUCCAGGUGGAGUUAAUCCUCUGCAUGCUGACACCCCUGGGGGAGGGAGCAGGCAGGCAGGGUUGGAGAAAAUUUGGGAGACUGCUGUUUCAACUUUGAGCAGCUUAAACACAAACCCUACAGCACCAAGGGAUCGCAGCUCCAAAUGCCUGAAAAUGGGCUUCCCAAAGGCUGGCACACAGAGCAGAACUGCCUGACCCAACUGCAAGGAAACUCUGAGGAAGGGACCAUCUUGACCCGGCUGUCCCGCAGCAGGCAGCUUCCUUUCCCAGGGCUGUGGGGAUGCUAGUUAUUACCCUGGUGUUUUUAAAAAUAGGAUUGAUGUAGCUGCAAGUUUUCAUGAAAAAUAAAGAGAAAUAAAGGAAUGAAGAACGAAAGAGAAGAUAGAAAAAGGGGAAGAAAGGAAGGAAGGAAGAAAAGAAAGAAAAAGAAAUGAAGAAAGAAACAAAACAAAUGAAGAAAGAAGGAAAAAAAGGAAAGGAGGGAAGGGAAAGGAAGGGAAAGAAAGAAAUGAAGAAAGGAAAGAAAAAGAAAGGAAGGAAAGAAAGAAAAAGAAAUGAAGAAAGAAGAGAAAGAAAUGAAAAGUGAAAAGAAAGAAGUGAAAAAGAAAUUUAAAAAAAUGAAGAAAAGGACAGGAGAAAGAAGGAAGGAAGGGAGGAAGAAGAAGGGAAGGAAGGAAGGAAGAAAGUAUGAAAGGAAGAAACAAAGGAAGAAAAAAAUAGGAAAUAAAGUAGGAAAGAAAGGAAGAGGGAAAGAAAGUAAGGAAGAAGGGAAGAAGGAAAAAGAAAGAAAAGAAAGAAGGGAAAAAAAGAAAGAAAGAAGAAGGGAAGAAAGAAAGAAGGAGUGCGAAGGGCCGUGGCACAGCGGUGCCGUCGCGGAGCGGCGCGGAGCAGCGCGCAGCCCCAGCGCUGUGCCCUCGGCAGGUGGCGGCAGAGCGCGGCCGUGG
ensembl:lncRNA